UACGUAGGGUGCAAGCGUUGUCCGGAAUUAUUGGGCGUAAAGAGCUCGUAGGCGGUCUGUCGCGUCUGCUGUGAAAACUCAGGGCUUAACCCUGAGCUUGCAGUGGGUACGGGCAGGCUGGAGUUCGGUAGGGGAGACUGGAAUUCCUGGUGUAGUGGUGAAAUGCGCAGAUAUCAGGAGGAACACCGGUGGCGAAGGCGGGUCUCUGGGCCGAUACUGACGCUGAGGAGCGAAAGCGUGGGGAGCGAACAGG
rnacentral:rRNA from 1 species